UACGUAGGGCGCAAGCGUUUGUCCGGAAUUAUUGGGCGUAAAGAGCUCGUAGGCGGUUUGUCGCGUCUGCCGUGAAAGUCCGGGGCUCAACUCCGGAUCUGCGGUGGGUACGGGCAGACUAGAGUGAUGUAGGGGAGACUGGAAUUCCUGGUGUAGCGGUGAAAUGCGCAGAUAUCAGGAGGAACACCGAUGGCGAAGGCAGGUCUCUGGGCAUUAACUGACGCUGAGGAGCGAAAGCAUGGGGAGCGAACAGG
rnacentral:rRNA from 1 species